GAGGAGCGGAGGAAAGCAGGUGGCUGAAGCUGGUUGUCCGCCGCCUCUCCUAGCGCCCCUCCGCUUCCCCACGUUGUGUAUUAUUAAGUCCAGUGUCCCACCUGACCCGGAGGGCAGAAGCAGAGCACGCGGCUCCGGAACACCGUUUGAUUUGUUUCUGGAGAAGUUCACUUUCCUCUCCAAACGAAACAUCUCAAGAUUAGCGACGUGCUUUGCAGAGCUUCACUUGUAGGUGGUGCUGUAAAGCUUUUUUUCACUUUGACCUGCCUAAGCCCUGAAUCUGAAAGGCUGAAUUCCGAGAAGUGGGUGGACAAGUGUCCUGGCCAAGGCGCUGGAGGUAUUGGCAGCUAAGAAAACAGAGCAAGAAACCCGCCUUCGUGGAGCCCAGGCUGUAGGAAUUCAGUUUGCUGACUUCACAUGAGAAAUGGGAGUCAGAGAUGGAGAAGCUUUUCAAUCUGGUCAUAAAGAAGAAAACGUUAUUUCACCGAAAGGUUUACCAGCGAUAUGACCCAUACCACGAAGGGGAAUAAUUUCUUGGGAAAAAUUCACAUCUAAAGAAAUGGCCCAAACUUGUUGAUACAUGAGCAGAGUAGAGGCUAAGGGGAACUGCGGGCACCUACCCUGGAAGUUUCACUCCUUGCUGUACCUUGGGUCUUCAGACUGUAAAGAGAGACCACUGUGGAGUGGAGGCGUGGCCAACUUGGAAGGAGGACCGGCUUAUAGGGCUCCUAUUUUAAUGUUCUUAGCUCAGAGGGAGUCAGAAGCAGAGUAGAAACUAAUUUCAGAAUUUUUUCCUUCUCUGGGUUUAUUUUCCCGUAGUAGUUAGCAAUCAAUCUCUCAAAGGAAAGACUUAUUUAGUUCAUUCAUUUAUUCUGACAAGAAAUAUUUGAGAACAUACUAUGUACCAGGUACUGUGCUGGGGCUGGCGGCACAGUCCAAGACACACAGUCCUUACCUCCAGCAAGUUUGCAGUCAUGCAGGACACAGAUACUGAGCAAUUACAAGGGAAUUGAUUAUUCUGAAAGAUAAGUGUAGGGUGCUCUGGGGACAUAUAGCCAGGGACCUAAUUAUAUGACAAGGGACCAGCCCAGACCCAACAUUUGCCCUCUCAUUUAUACCUACAAGUAGUUUGGGGGGUUUUUUUCCUCAGACGCCAUGAGAAGUCGUCAUGCGCCAUUUCACCUCAAGGUUGGGAGGGGGGAAAUGUUCUUUUUUGUUUCGCUUAUCAAUAUAAUGUGGUUCGUGUCCCAAACCACAUGCAGGCAGUUCCAGAGUCUGCUUUUGAACAGGACGUGCAGAUCCAGACUGUGGCUAACCCAAUGGGGAGAAGGGUAGACAGUGAAGAAAACCAAACGCUGGUGACACCGCCUGAAGGCGCAGAAGCAGAAAACACCCAGGGAGGCUGAGGUGGAACAACCAAAGAGAGAGCAGACUCAGUCUCCAAGAAAGGACACCUGCAGCAGGACCAGAGAAGGAACCCUGAGGGAGACCAGUGGAGAGCCCUGCACGUACUCUCCCAGUGUUCUGCAAAGGAUAAACAACAAACUCUGCUAUUGGGUUAAGGCCUCAUAAAACCACUCAUUCAUUCCUCUGACAUAUUCAUAAGCUUUUCAUUACAGUCACAUACUAAAAGUUCAGUCUUUCUUGGCACCUAAACACUAUGCUCUACACCCUUUGCCAGCUCACAUUUUCUGGGCCCUCAUCCAGAUGGGCAGCCUGUUAGCAUCACGUAGAAAAAGGGGACGGGCCCGGCCCAGAUCCAACAGUUAUCCUCCCAAUGUAUUUACUGUGGAUUUUUUUUUUUUUUAAACUUUGAACUAUACAGACACAGAGGCAGCCAGAUGUCAAUUCCAAAUCCCUCACUUCACCCACUCAAAUGCUCCCAAAGUAUUAAGUUUCUAUACCUUGCAUAUUUCCUGGUCUCUAGAAGCCCAACUUAUGCUCUCAAUUGAGCACUCAGAUUUCUCUUGGUCAUACUUUAGUAACAGUAGAUCGACUAGGUCCCUUAGAGACCCGAAAACCACAGCUUAAGCAUUCCGAAUAAACAAGUACCAUUGCUAUAAGGGGAGCUUAUAGUUUUUGAAAUAAAGCUAGCCCAACUUUUUAGCUAGCUCAACUUCAGUAUCAAGUAGGAGGUGGCUUUAAGGAUAGCAGAGCAGACAUGGACUUUCUUAAUA